UAUGUGAUCGUCUCUCGCAUAUCAAUAAGCGGAGGAAAAGAAACUAACAAGGAUUCCCCUAGUAACGGCGAGUGAAGCGGGAAGAGCUCAAAUUUGAAAUCUUAAAGGGUUUCCCUUUACGAAUUGUAGUUUAAAGAAGUGUUUUCUGUUGAGGUUUUGGUAAAAGUUCUUUGGAAUAGGACAUCAUAGAGGGUGAGAAUCCCGUAUUUGACCUUUACUUUCAACUUUGUGAUACACUUUCAAAGAGUCGGAUUGUUUGGGAAUGCAGUCCAAAAUGGGUGGUAAAUUUCAUCUAAAGCUAAAUAUUGGCGAGAGACCGAUAGCGAACAAGUACCGUGAGGGAAAGAUGAAAAGAACUUUGAAAAGAGAGUUAAACAGUACGUGAAAUUGUCAAAAGGGAAGCGUUUGACACCAGUGUUGUUUUUCUGAAAAUCAAUUAAAGAACUGUUUAUGCUAAGCUGUUUAGACUUUAUCAGCUAAUCUGUUUAGUUUUGAGCUUUUCUUUAAUGCACUUUUCAGUUAACAAGUCAACAUCAAUUUCUUUUGCUGUAAAAAAGCUUGAGGAAGGUGGCUUGAGAUACGUCUUAAGUGUUUAUAGCCUCUUGCCUAUGCAGUCGGAGAGAUUGAGGUCUGCAGCGUAGAUCCUUCGGGGCUAAAUGCAUUUGUGCUAAGUUAUAGCAUUUUAUAGACAACUUGUUGACUAUGAUUUGUCUUGUAGCUUACUCGCUUAUGUUAUUUUACCUACGCUUAGGAUGUUGAUCUCUCACAGUCGAGC
rnacentral:rRNA from 1 species